UUAUGGUCAUAAAUACCUUGAAACACUUGGUUCCCGUACGAUCAGCGAAGUUAAGCAACGUCGAGCCUGGUCAGUAUAUAGAUGGGUGACCGCUUGGCAAUACCAAGUA